CCUCUUUCAUCCUUCACUCUCCUUGAACAUCUGUCCGUAGACAGGAAUCGUGGUGUCCCCUUGCGCUCCAAAAACGGGAUUAGGCUUUGAAAAGUUUAGGAAUUGCGUGAAAAAAAGGAGAAAAAAAAUAAUAAAGCCCACAGGUAAGAAGAUGCGAUCAGGUAAUUAUGAAAAAAAAAUAAUAAAAUUCGAUGCUGAGAAGUCUUGGUUGAGAAUUAAGAGCCUGCGUAGGCAUUGGUGGCUGACACCCUCCCCAUACCGUUUACCAACCCCAGAGCAUACGUGGUGCUUCUGACCACCCAUCUGGAGAUGUGUACCAGAGUCAUCGUCACCGGAUACCGCGUUUCCGGCUUAUUUACCGCGGUGAAUUCGCCUUGUGUCUCCCUCACACUGUGAUUCCAUCAGCUAUAACUGUCGCCUGGCAGCUCAUAUUCCUCAUUCGUCCUCCCCCCUUACUACGAUGUGCAUCCUAAUGUCAUAGUUUCGCUGGGGCACAGGGGGGUAGGCUCCGGAGGUCUAUGACACGUCACAAGUUGGCCGCCCACCGACGUCAGCACACGAUGGAAUCACAACCCGAGGAAGCUUCUGUGGUACUCCGGUCACGAAAACUCCGGCGCCCAUCUCCAAGAAUUGGUGUAGAGGGCUCACCACUGAACCUUUGGCCAGUAAGCAAAGUGGGGAAAGCCACAGCCGCCAAUGCAGCGAACGCGUGAGCUAAAAUAAAGAACCUCGUGUAGAGAAAAUGCCAUAAACCUUGCGCCUUGCACAUGCGCAUAGGAAAAUCAUCAGAACAAAUAAAAAGACAAAAACUGACAGAAAAAAGUGAAGUCGUGACUCAAAAACAAAUUCAUCAGAGAAGUACGCUCUCUUCCAAGCCAAAGAAAAAAAAAGGUAUCAAAAUUCGGGGUUCAGGAAAAAGAAGAAAAAGGAAACAUAUUGCCAAGAGCGCUACGCCACUCUGGCUUCGGGACACUAUGCUAUCCCAUCCUAAGAUAAUAGUAUACCAAAAAGAAAUUCUCUAUAACGACCUUAUAUCAAAAGCCUAGCCUAUAAAAAGCAAUCCGUACGCCAUUCAAGGCAAUUCAAACGGAUAAUAAAAACAAAAAUAAUAGCAAUAACAAAAUAACGAAGUUCAUAUGCAAUUCAAAGCAAAAAGUAAUUCAUUUACCUAAACCUAAAAUUCUAAACCUAUGACUACUACCCAUGGCCUUAAACUAUUGCCUUAAAUCUUUGGCGUGAAAGACGCCCAAAAAUUUACCCUGAAGAUCCUCCACUUCGUAUAGAGAAGUCCCUACAGGCCGCACAAUUCUACACUUGAAGAACUUUUUAUCGAGUUUCGCGUUAUAGUCCUUAGAAAAGCUACUUUGCCGAAAACUACGGCGAAACACUUCCUGUCCGGGCAAGAAUUUAACUUGUCGGCAACGAAGAUUGUAGGAUUUUUCUCCCCUAAGGUAGGCGUUAUGCAGGUUAGCUCUGAUCAGCUCUCUGGUCUGCUCCAUAUUCUCCGAGUUAGGAAUAAGGUCGAUAUCUGGGUCAUUUAGUAGUUGAAGCUUACGCGCGAUCUUGUAAACGCUGCCGUGAUUUAUCAUGUUAACGCCGAACAAAGCGUAGUAAGGCGUCACGUUUAUUGCACUAUGCACCGACGAGCGCAGCGAACAUUCCACCUCCGAAAGGUGCUUAUCCCAUUCGCGGUGGUCUUCCUUGAGGUACGCCCUUAUCGCGGCCAGUACGGACUGGUUAACGCGCUCCGACGCGUUGGCCUGUGGCGAAUGGGUAGCGGUCUUCAUAUGGUUAACACCGAAAUUUUUAACCAAGUCCUGGAAUUCCUUACUAAUGAACUGUUUGCCAUUGUCGGAGACAAUGACUUCUGGAGUGCCAAACUUGUGGAAAACUUCUGAAAUCAGAAACUUUACCACAUUCUUGGCACUCGCCUUAGCCAUUGCCUUCAACAGCACGUAUUUAGACAAAUGGUCUAAAACAAUAAAAAUAAAGGAAUUCCCGGACUUGGAACGCGGAUAGGGACCGAGGAAGUCAACGUAAAUGCGUUGAAAUGGACGCUCCACUUCAAAUUCUUUGCCCAUGGGUGGACGUAAAGUUGUGGUUGCCGGCUUCGUCUCUUUGCAAACCUGGCAUUGUUUCACAAAACUUCGCACCUGCACAGCCAUGUUUGGCCAGUAAAAGUACUCUUUUACACGGUGCAAAGUUUUGUGAAACCCGCCAUGAGCCGAUGUAGGUGGGCAAUGAGCCCUUUCAAUGACUUGUUCAGUCAGCUCGGCCGGCAUCCACAACUUCCAUGCGAAAUCUUCACGCAAUGGGUCGCCAUCGUAAUGUCGCGUUCUUUUGUAGGCGACACCAUCGAUAACCCGAAAGUCGGGUAAACUUGCCGCGUUCUCUUCGAUACUCCGGGUAAGCUCUUGAUAGGCGUCAGACUUAAAGGCUGGCGAGGAGAGAUCCAACAACUGUCCUAAGUCCGCAGAAAGUUCGUCCAUAUCGUACCUAGACAAGGUAUCCGGAACAAUGUUCUGGGUACCCUGCCUAUGUCGAUAUCGAACGUAAAGGACUGAAGAUGGAGGCUCCACCUCGCCAGUCUUCCGCUUAAAUCCCUAUGGGACAUCAACCAUUUGAGGCUGCUAUGGUCAGUGAUUAUGGUGAAAGCCAUUAAUUCAAUAUAAGGCCUGAAUUUUUUUAUUGCCAUAACCACAGCCAAGCACUCUCUCUCCGUCACUGAAUAAUUCCUUUGAGCGGACGUUAAUUUCUGUGAAAAAUAUGCAAUGGGAUGCUCUCCGCCCUCGUCAUCCUUCUGAAAUAGGACUGCUCCUAUUCCCCGGUCGGAGGCAUCACAUUGCACAUAGAAAUGUCUAUCAAAGCUCGGGUGAGAGAGUACUGGGCUUGUAAUCAGGGCCUGUUUCAACUGAUCAAAAGCAGCCUUCGCCUGGUCGGUAAAAACAAAAGCCUUACCCUUUUUAAGAGUAUCGAAGAUCGGGGUAGCUAUCGUCGCGUACUCGGGAAUAAACCGCCUAUACCAGCCGGUAGCGCCCAUAAAACUUCGCACUUGCUUGGCCGUCUUUGGGUAGUCAAAUCGCGCUAUAGUUUCAACCUUUGCUGGAUCCGCCUUGAGAGUACCUCCACCAACAAUAUAGCCUAAGUAUCGGAGCUCUUUGAAGCAAAAUUUUGAUUUUGCCACAUUGAUCGUGAGCCCCGCAUUGGCUAACAAUUCAGCCACACAGUUCAGCAACUCCAGGUGAGUGUAAAAAUCUGGUGAAAUCACCAAGAGGUCAUCCAAGUAAACAAAAACACGGUCUCUUAGUGCUGCGGGAACCACUUUGUCCAUUAACCGGCAUAACCUCUGGGCUGCAUUACACAACCCAAAAGGCAUGACGGUAAAAUGAUAAAGAGGCCUCCCCGGCACCGUAAAGGCUGUCUUCUCCUUACUGGAUUCGUCGAGGGGUAUCUGCCAGAAAGCAUCCUUUAGGUCAACACUAGAUAUAAAAUAGGUGUCACCAAGCCGGCUGAGUAGACCUUCAAUAUGCGGAAGAGGAUAAGCGUCCUUGACGGUGAGAGCAUUAAGUUUGCGAGCAUCAACACAUAGUCUAUUUUUCUCGCCCUUGCGGACAAGUGUCACUGGAUGGCUCCAGGGACUUUCGCUUUGCUCUAUCACACCCAAGGAUAACAUCCUAUCCAACUCCGCAUACAUUAAUUUCUGCACAGCUGGUGACACCGGAUAGUGCUUACUUUUAACUGGAGUUGCAUCACGAGUGUCGAUUGUGUGUAUCUCAGACUGUGUCCGUCCCAAGCCUUUUUUAGUAAAGCAGGGGAACUUUUUCAUGACAUCCUCCAAGCGUUUCCACUGGAAGUCUGACAACACAUGGACUUUCUUGUCAUCAUUGAUACCGCCGUCAGCUUCUUCACAAAGGCUGAUAUUGUUGGUGGUGAUGCUCUCAAUUUGGGCAAAAAGCUGAAACUUGCGCAUAAAAUCUAUGCCAAGAAAAAGCGACCUUCCCAAAGACGGCACCAAAAAGAAGGUUAUUUCAUGCGACAUUUUAUUAAAAGUAACCGUGGCCGUGACGCGACCUACUAUUUUAUGAGGGCUUUCAUCCGCGGUAUGUAUAUAUGAGUGGAAUGGAUGUACCACUAGAUUCGCAUGGCCGACGAAGUCGACGCAACCUUUCCCCAAACAGGAUACCGUGGCACCGCUGUCGAGCAGACCCUCUAUUUCUUGACCAUUAAUAACUAACCGUGUAUAAAAGCGAGUGUCGUCACCCUCGUAGAGCGAUGCGGCCGCAAUUUGUCGCCGUAGAGCUUUCCUCUUUUUGUAACGCUCGCGCGCUUUCUUUACCUUAUUGGAGAUCCCAAACAUCCUCGCCUUUGCCUCGUUAUACUCUUGUACCCGGACAUGUAAAGGCUUCAAUUCUCUAAGCUUUGGGACAAGUGCAGAACUAUGCGUAUGCUGUUGGGGGUUCCUAAGAAGGGUGAUCUUUCUAUCAGGGGCUGGGACUGGAGUUAAACUGGUGUCGACCGCACCUCUCCAGUCUGAGGUGGGAUCCUCUGUCGGUUUCCCUGACAUUUCGGGCAGUUUCUGACGGUUACUCCAUCAUGACCACACCUGUAGCAAAAGAAUUUUCUAGGCGCGGCACAAUCCACCCAGCUAUGACCUUCCAAACCACAAUUCCAGCAUUUCAGAUUUGUUUUGCCUUGAAUUGCAUCCACUUCCAUGGCCUCCGAAGGCAACUCUUCCUCCCAGGCUAAUUCGUGAACGCGCUGCGGCCCUAGAUUAGUUACUGUUGACGUUGGCUUGCAAGAAGAUUUUCUGCCCUUUUGACUUCUCUGUAGAAGCUCCCCAAGUCGUUAACUCUCACUGAGAAUAUCAUCUGUGCCAAUGAUGUUUUCAGGUUGCCCCUCAUAAUUUCCACCAUCUCCGCCUCUCGAUAGGGUUGCUUCUGCUGGUUUCGCAACUGAAUCACCGCAUUAUAAAAAUCUUCAAAUGUUUCUUGGGGCUGCUGGCGACGAUUGAGAAUUUGUGUUUGAAUCUGGAAUUCGUUUUCAAACCGCUGGUAUUGCGUCAGCAGAGCCCUCUCAAUUUCUUCCCAAGAUCGAAAUUGGACAAACUUGCGGUGGUUCCAGUACCAGUCUAGCGCUGGUUUCUCCAAGAGCUGGUGAAACUUAGUUAGGAAUUCGCCUUCCGGGCAAUCAUAAUCUCUUUUAAGCUCUCCUACUCGAAAGAUAAACUCCUGCCCGUUCAUGGUUUUGGAGGUGCCAUCAAAUUUAAUACCCCACUUGGUCAAAUUUAGCUUGCUGGUCGAAUCAGUGUGUGUACUGCCUCCAGGCCUUCCAAAAUGUGAAGAAGGACCUGGAAAAUGCGCCGGUUGCAACGGCGGCUGCAAAUAUGGCGGUGGCUCACUUGUGUUAGGCUGCUGUGGCCUCUCAUUCAAUGGCGUGUAAUAGUUUGGCUGGGCUGAACCCCAGGAAUUGCAGUACACCGAUGGCACGCUGAGACCGCCGGCCUCCGAAACUGGUGGUGCUGGCAUAGAUGAGUGUGGGACAGUGCUGGUGGUUGGUACAAAAGGCGGUGGUUGUGAGUAUACGGCCCCAGCCUGUUGAUAUGACGAGACUGGUGGAGCUACUGGCGCCUGCAUAUCUGACAAACCCCUAGGCGGAUGCGUUUGCCCCAAAGACAUGUGCUGUCCCUGGCCUAGUAGUGGUCUUCCAGGCUGUCCUGUUGCCAGCUGAGCCAUUGGUACAUUGUUCGUAGGAACGGAAUUACCCACUCCUAACGAUCGUUUAGUAGCUUCAACAAUGGUAGGUAUCAAGCUGUUGAUUCUUUCAGUCUGCUCCCUCUCGAACUCUAUUCGGGCUAGACCAACGGCUGAAGAGAUAAUUUCGCGCAUGCCAAUACUCAUAGUCGGGUUUGCUGGAGGCACUGGGACGUUGAGACCAGUGAGUGGGCUAAAAGUUGGAGAUGAUACAUGCCCUUGCGAGCUGAAUGUGCUAUUCAAUAGCCGUGACAAAUCGUCCAUGCCUUGUGGUAUUGGUGGAGCGACGGAUGAACGCGCAGAUGCGAUCGGCGCAUUGCUGGCUGACAUUGUGGUUGUUGUUGUUGUGGUAGUGAAAGUCACAGCUGGUUGGGUUGUGCUCACCGGAAAAUUCUGAGAAGUUCCUGGCUGCAUCCUGGAAUGGCCAGAAUCUUCCCUAUUUGCUGAACGAGUGUUAACCAUUAGAGUAAUAUAUCUGCCAACAUAAAAAAAAUAAAUGCCAAAAUCGAAAUGUAAAGUGACUAACAGCCAAAAACUGUAAAAAACUCAAAAGGAAAAAUAUAUCGCCGAAAAGGAAAACUCCUUUAUGACUGCAAAUGCUGAAUGUAUAGCCAAGAGGAAAACCCUUUGCGGGUAAGAAGCUGAAAUGUCGUAAAAUAAAGAAAACUCCAAAAAUAAAAAAAAAAUUAAGUGUCAAACUUUAAAUGACAGAAACUAAUAAGAAAAACAAAAUUCUCUAAAUAAAAAAAACAGAAUGCGUAAAAAAAAUGAUUUGGUACCUCGAGAUAUGAGAUAGAUAACCUCCUGCUACUAAGGGAAUAAAUCUACCAAAGCAAAACCAGAAGAAAAAAAAAAAGACUACAAAUUCAUGUAAUGGAUCGGCGGUAGGUAACAAACUAUCAAAAAGGUAAGUAAAGGUAAAAUGAUGUACGUAUCGUAUAGUGCCAGUGUAUGCAUGUUCUAAUAUAGGUAUUUAUUUUGAUUCCAGGGUUUCGUGAGUGUAAACGCAAAAACAAAAAAACGAUGAAACAUGGAAAGAUAGCUACGAUGGACAACACGUGGAAACAUAAAACUUUGUCUGGCCUUACAGCCCAUGGACUAAGCCACGAAUGCGUACGAAGACGAAGAAGAAUGUGUAUCCCGUGAUAAAAAAAGGCUUCCUUUUAGGUUGGACAAGUGGCUACGGGGUCAAGGAACCCCAAUCUAAAGUCUAGGACCUACCUAAGAUAAGAGCUCAUAUCCUAGCGCCUAUUUGGUUCCCUAUAUCCGGGACAAGAUUACCGUGAAGAGCACUCCCUUGUCUAACCGAACAUCGUCCGUCAGUGUCCUAGUCCUGGAUAUACCGCUGCAACCAGGAGGGCUGCAGAAUGCUGGAUCUCCCACGCUGGACUGGAGCGGUGCUGGUGGCUGACGGUGGGAACGAUGAGUUUGUGACUUUUACCGAUAUUUUGCUUGCUUAGCGCUUUCGUUGUGAUUCUGCUGGCAGGUUCAUAUGCUUCGUGUGUAUAUUAGGUGAUGGUUUACGAGCGUUUACAGCCUUCGAAAUUGUUCACAGGUUUGAUAAUUAAAACAAGGGGAAAAAAAUGUUCACCGUGUUUAAAUAAACGCUACUGCCAUCUAUUAAUAAAAAAAUGCACUUUCCCACCAUCGGUGGUGAAGGGGUUUUUCUGCUUCAAAAGCGUCCAAA